UGUCAGUUCAAAUUUGCUCGCAAAGUUGGGCGGUUGUGUUUUAAGGCGCGGGCAAUUUUUCGAUUUUUAAUGAAAUUUGUGUUACAUUUCAUAACUUAAACGACAAAGUUGUGUCUUUAAAUGUGAUUCUUACGUGAUUCAUAUACCACUGUAAAAUUGCCUUAAAUAAUUGAACCUAAAAUUAGUGCUGCUUUAUUGCAUACGACAUUUAGUUCGAUCAAUCAGUUUAAACCGGUGCAUUACACACGAAUAUUCAUCGAAUCGCGUCUAUUUUUGUGCAAAGUGAAUUCAAUAUAGGUAUCGCAUUAAAUUCAGUUGCAUGGCAGAAAAAGCAGCCACUUCAAAUCCAGUUACCAGAAAUUGCCAUUGUAUUCAUCGAGUUUUUUAACCGAAAUCUUAUCUAAUCAACGAGGAGCUAUUCACAAUUACUACAAUUACAUAAACUAUCCGGUUGCAAACAGCGUAUAUAAUUGAAUGAUGUUGCACUAUAACUCAAUGAGACGAAGUACAGCGAAUUGUCCGACUGCUAAACGAAGUCAGUCAAACACAGAUAGCGUUAGAUUAUCAUCAAUCAAAGGAUUGGCCUACAUAAUGCAAACCUGCCAACAGUGUUCAGUAUUCAUAGUUUUAGUCACCUUAGUAGCCCUAAUUGGUAUUGUUUCUCCCAACCCAGUGCAGACGACCACGCAAGCUGAGAUUUAUCUAUCACAAUUCGGUUAUCUGCCUGCAUCAGCCCGUAAUCCUGCAAACGGCGGUUUACUUGAUGCAACCACAUGGACUAAAGCUGUGCAAGAUUUCCAGAGUUUUGCUGGCUUAAAUGUAACCGGAGACUUGGAUGGAGAAACUUUGGAGCUAAUGUCAUUGCCACGGUGUGGUGUUAGGGAUAAGGUGGGAUUUGGCACCGAUAGUCGUUCCAAGCGAUACGCUUUACAGGGAAGCAGGUGGCGUGUUAAGGCUUUGACAUAUAAGAUUUCUAAAUAUCCUAAACGACUCAAACGUAACGAUGUUGACGCCGAAAUAGCACGUGCUUUCAGUGUAUGGAGCGAUUUCACAGAUUUAUCAUUUACUCCGAAAGCUUCUGGACCAGUUCACAUAGAAAUUAAAUUCGUUGAAAGCGAACAUGGGGAUGGUGACGCAUUUGAUGGGGUCGGUGGUACCUUGGCACACGCAUUCUUUCCUGUCUUUGGCGGUGAUGCACAUUUUGAUGAUGCUGAGUUAUGGACAAUUAGAUCAAGUACUGGCACAAACCUUUUCCAAGUUGCAGCCCACGAAUUUGGCCAUUCAUUGGGCUUGUCUCACUCAGAUGUGCGUUCUGCUUUGAUGGCACCGUUUUAUCGUGGAUUUGAUCCCGUAUUUAAACUUGACUCCGACGACGUUCUAGCUAUUCAAGCUCUGUAUGGUAAGAAAACUGUCGGAGUAGCUGAUCGUGGUGGUUUCCCAAAAACUACCCAAAGGCCAGUGAUUUCAGCACCGAAAGUUCCACGGGACGACCUCAUUUGCAAAGAUCCAAAAGUUGACACUUUAUUUAAUUCGGCCGAUGGACAAACAUAUGCAUUCAAAGGAAACAAAUAUUAUAGGCUUACUGAAAACUCCAUUGCGGACGGUUAUCCCAAGCUUAUAUCGGAUGGCUGGGCGGGUUUACCUGGCGAUAUAGAUGCAGCAUUUACAUACAAAAAUGGCAAGACAUACUUCUUCAAGGGUACCAAAUAUUGGCGUUACAAUGGACGACAAAUGGAUGGUGAUUAUCCAAAAGAAAUUAGUGAAGGAUUUACAGGAAUACCAGAUCAUUUGGAUGCAGCUAUGGUUUGGGGAGGUAAUGGCAAAAUUUACUUCUACAAGGGUAGUAAAUUUUGGCGCUUCGACCCACUAAAGCGGCCGCCAGUUAAAUCAAGUUAUCCAAAACCCAUCUCAAAUUGGGAAGGCCUGCCAAAUAAUAUUGAUGCUGCAUUGCAGUACACCAAUGGCUAUACAUACUUUUUCAAGGGUGAUAAAUACUACAGAUUCAACGACAGAACAUUUUCGGUGGACGCGGCAAAUCCGCCAUUCCCUCGACCAUCUGCCCACUGGUGGUUCGGAUGCAAAAAUGUGCCGUCAUCAACAGGUAAUAUAAUUGAAAAUUCCUACGAACCAUUUUUGCACUCGGCAUACAACAAUGAUGAAAAUGACGAAUCACUACAAUUCGAAGCAGAUGAGAAUCCUGGCAGAGGGAAUAUCCCUGGUUGGAUGUGGAACAUAGCGAAUUCCUUCUUUUAAUUGUGUCAUAAAUAUUUCUUAGUUGUAUCCAACGAUAACUUUUUAAACAUAAAAAUAGUGGAAUAGUGGAAAACUAAAGAGACAACGUAAAAGUUAAAUAAAAUAGUGUAAGAAUAAUAAGGGUCUUAGAACAAUAUUGCUUGUAAAUUUGUUAGUUAAUUUUUGUGUGCAAAGCAACUAAAGUUGCUAAUUAUCAUCUAUACCGUGUAAAAUCGUGGAACUAGGCAGACAAUCCAGCACAUCGCUAUUAUCAUCCAGCUUCCUCAUUCAUCAAAACAUUACAUAUCGCUUGUCUUCGUCAAACUACUUAUGUCCAGCUCAUGGAGGUUGUGCGUCCUGCAGCAGUAGCAACAGUUGACGCUGCACUAUUACGAGUAAAAUUAAUGCCAAGAAAGAGAAAACUAGCGCUUACUUCUGUGGUCGCACCGUCUCCAUGCCGUAUUUCCUGCUUACAUGCGACGAGUAUUAAUAUGACAAGAUUGCUUGCUAAGCCACAACACCACACGAAAUGACGAUCAUCAAGCUCAUGACGAGUCUCCGGAAGCCGAUGUUUCGAGACAAAGCAAUUCUGCGAACAAAUAUUAUACAUCACAC
rnacentral:misc_RNA from 1 species